UACAGAGGGUGCGAGCGUUAAUCGGAAUUACUGGGCGUAAAGCGCACGUAGGUGGCGACGUAAGUCGGGUGUGAAAGCCCCGGGCUCAACCUGGGAAUUGCAUUCGAGACUGCAUUGCUGGAGUACGGAAGAGGAAGGCGGAAUUCCCGGUGUAGCGGUGGAAUGCGCAGAUAUCAGGAGGAACACCAAUGGCGAAGGCAGAUCUCUGGGCCGUAACUGACGCUGAGGAGCGAAAGCAUGGGGAGCGAACAGG
rnacentral:rRNA from 1 species